AAAUUCUUCUCAUCGCAGAAUUCUGCAGACCAUCGCUUAUAGUUUUUUGGCCUGCUCAUGAAACUUGACAAGCUAGCUGAAUGCCGGGAAGGGCAGUGUCAUCCUGCAUGGGCACCAGGUGGUUCCGCGGAAGGUUGGACGUGCUCUGACGAUCUGAGGCGCCUUGAUGAUUGGCGCCUCUCUACAAUCGAAAUUGCAUUCCUGCCGUGUUUAUUUAUGGAGAUUUACCUUGCGACGUAGGUUCCCCUGUGGCAAUGCGUUCGGCAGCGCAGCGCGGGCUGAGGCGGGGGCAGCUCAGCAAGACCAGGACGUGCCUUAGCGGUGAAACGGAUGUUAAUUUAUUCAAACAAAACAAUUAUACAAAAUUG
rnacentral:lncRNA from 1 species